rfam:Triticum aestivum genome assembly, contig: Triticum_aestivum_CS42_TGACv1_scaffold_103515_2AL
CAAGUACUCCCUCCGUCCAGAUUACUUGUCAUCAAAAUGAAUGUGUCUAGAACUAAAAUACAUCUAGAUACAUCCAUUUCAAUGACAAGUAUUUUCGGACGGAGGGAGUACAAG